CUCUGAACCGCGCGACAUACGACCUGGUACUGCGCUCUGCUCACCAUUUAAGAGCCUGGUCUUCCUCCCUUCUCACGACACCAGCCACAUACCCGCCACUGACCCCCGCUGCAAGCCACCGCCGUGCCCACGGAGGUAAACCAGCCGCCGUAGGUGAUUCUCGUCACUGUGUGGUUUCCGUCCUCGGCGAGGGGCCGAGUAAGAUCGUCAUCGUCCAGGGAAGCCGGGCGUAACCACAAUUAGGAGGCUAAUCCACGAAACCGGAGGCAAUUUCUCGCCGGACACCCCGCUUCUGCCACGAAUCCACCACACCGCGUCCAACAAUGUCGGCGCCCCAUCGCUGUGCGAUUAAGAGUCACCUGAAGU
rnacentral:lncRNA from 7 species